rnacentral:lncRNA from 10 species
CCUUCGAUGCAGCUCGGCAUUCACAAGAAUCUCCUGCAGAAAAUCGAAGAGCAAGUAUCCUUUCCAUUCCUUGGAUGGUGCAGCACUGGGAGAAGGGCCUCAGGUACUGGCAGGUGGCUGGUGGGCAUGGGUAACCCCCGCCUUCUCUGAGCCCAGGCCAUGCAGCUAACAUUGCUCAGUUGGUGGUGGUAAUCAGCUGAGGCUUUAAAUGAAAUUUCCUUCAUUUCAGAUGAAACCAUUCUUGCAGAGGAGAAAAGCAGGGCACACUGCAUACCCUGCAGGAAUCUAUCUUUCCCUAGCACCUCUGUCCUGUAAAACUCCACAGGGACACCCAACAAACGGGGCAAGGAGUCCUGGAAUUUUCUCCAUGAAGGACAGGGGUCUGUAGGGGGCUGUCCUGGGAGUCAGGGAGGCUGUUAACCACUAGAGGUCAGGGCUGGGGACUGAUUUUUUUUUCCUAUUAGGAAAGCUGAGGCACAGGAAAUAUUAAGCGGUGAAUGACUCACUAUGUUAAAAAGCCAGUUACUUUAGUAAGAUUUAGGUCUUGGUUUUGAAAAAGAUGUACAGUUGCUUUUCGACUUACAAUGAGGUUACAUCUCAACCCAUUGGAAAGUCAAAAAACUGUAAGUCAAACCAUUCAGUUGGGGACCAUCUGGAUAAAUAUGUAAUAAAGGCCACUGUUUUAAAAGUCUACCAACACUAGGUGGCGAGCUUUGGCAAAGUAAGUGGUAAAAGGAGGCGAAGUUGGAGAAAGAGGAAAAGACAAAGGGGAGGAAAAUAUGAGUAA